rnacentral:tRNA from 1 species
GCCUGGGUGGCUCAGUUGGUUAAGCGUCUGACUUUGGCCCAGGUCUGAUCUCACCAUUUGUGAGUUCGAGCCCCACAUCAGGCU